rnacentral:rRNA from 1 species
AACGAACGCUGGCGGCGCGCCUAAUACAUGCAAGUCGAGCGAGAAGGUGUAGCAAUACACUUGUAAAGCGGCGAACGGGUGAGGAAUGCAUGGGUAACCUACCCUCGAGUGGGGAAUAACUAGCCGAAAGGUUAGCUAAUACCGCAUACGUUUCCGGAACUUCGGUUUCGGAAAGAAAGCAAUACCGUGGGUAUUGCGCUCAUGGAUGGGCUCAUGUCCUAUCAGCUUGUGGUGAGGUAACGGCUCACCAAGGCUUCGACGGGUAGCUGGUCUGAGAGGACGAUCAGCCACACUGGCACUGCGACACGGGCCAGACUCCUACGGAAGGCAGCAGUAAGGAAUAUUGCGCAAUGGACGAAAGUCUGACGCAGCGACGCCGCGUGGGGGAUGAAGGUCUUCGGAUUGUAACCCUUUCGGGAGGAAGAUGGAGUGGGUAACCGACGUUGGACGGUACCUCCAGAAGCAGCCACGGCUAACUUCGUGCCAGCAGCCGCGGUAA